rnacentral:rRNA from 1 species
UUCCGGUUGAUCCUGCCAGAGGUUACUGCUAUCGGUGUUCGCCUAAGCCAUGCGAGUCAUAUGUAGCAAUACAUGGCGUACUGCUCAGUAACACGUGGAUAACCUGCCCUUGGGACCGGCAUAACCCCGGGAAACUGGGGAUAAUUCCGGAUAACGCAUAUUUGCUGGAAUGCUUUAUGCGUCAAAAGGAUUCGUCUGCCCAAGGAUGGGUCUGCGGCCUAUCAGGUAGUAGUGGGUGUGAUGUACCUACUAGCCAGCGACGGGUACGGGUUGUGAGAGCAAGAGCCCGGAGAUGGAUUCUGAGACAUGAAUCCAGGCCCUACGGGGCGCAGCAGGCGCGAAAACUUUACAAUGCGGGAAACCGUGAUAAGGGGACACCGAGUGCCAGCAUCAUAUGCUGGCUGUCCGGAUGUGUAAAAUACAUCCGUUAGCAAGGGCCGGGCAAGACCGGUGCCAGCCGCCGCGGUAACACCGGCGGCCCGAGUGGUGAUCGUGAUUAUUGGGUCUAAAGGGUCCGUAGCCGGUUUGGUCAGUCCUCCGGGAAAUCUGAUAGCUUAACUAUUAGGCUUUCGGGGGAUACUGCCAGACUUGGAACCGGGAGAGGUAAGAGGUACUACAGGGGUAGGAGUGAAAUCUUGUAAUCCCUGUGGGACCACCUGUGGCGAAGGCGUCUUACCAGAACGGGUUCGACGGUGAGGGACGAAAGCUGGGGGCACGAACCGGAUUAGAUACCCGGGUAGUCCCAGCCGUAAACGAUGCUCGCUAGGUGUCAGGCAUGGCGCGACCGUGUCUGGUGCCGCAGGGAAGCCGUGAAGCGAGCCACCUGGGAAGUACGGCCGCAAGGCUGAAACUUAAAGGAAUUGGCGGGGGAGCACAACAACGGGUGGAGCCUGCGGUUUAAUUGGAUUCAACGCCGGG